AUUCACCAAAAACCCUAAUCAGAUUCAUCUAUCACAUACACACCAUCGCCUCUUCUUCUUCUAUCUACCUUCACUGUGCUCAACAAUGGCAGAUUUGGAAUAAUCCAAACUACACUUUCCCAAGUGAUGCAGGCUCACAUGAUCAACUGAAGGUCAUACCGAACGCUUUUGUGAGAAGUUUUUAUGCUAGUGAUGUUCGAUAUGAUCGUGUACUCAUAAGGGGUGAUGGUACUAGAUGCUGGUCUCUAAACCUGUCAAAUCUGAUUGGCGUUGACAACAUGAGGGGGAGAAAGAUGAUAAGAUCAUCGCAUUAUGUGCCGAUGAUGAUCUGGUGUAUAGAUUGUCCAAUGCCAUCAAUGAGUGAAAGCUAGUGUUUGUUUAUUCAUUUUUUAUGCUUAUGGACAUUAGGGAUAAGCCUCAAUGAGAGAAGCUUUUUACCUCCACAAAAUUGUGUUUUUAUCGUCGGCUAUAGUUUACGGUUGGCCAAAUGAGGUCAUGUGCAUAGAAGAUUUUCCCAAAUCUGCAGGCUGUAGCCAACCCAUAUGGGCGAACUAAGGUUAUAGUUUGCUAGCCAAAAGGAUCUUAUGGCUCUAGGAGGAUCGAUUUAUCUCAACUUUUAGAAUUUAAUGAACAUGCAGAUGUAGAUACACUUGAACCCUGAUCAUGGGGCUCAUUUGAUAUGCAAUGGGCUUAAGGACAGAGAUCAAACUCUCGUAUGCUAAGUUGUGGUCGCUUACUAAAUUGAAGUUAAGGUUUGUAUGUUAAUCUCAUAAAAGACAUUUAUUAGUAAUAUUUAAU
rnacentral:lncRNA from 1 species